rnacentral:rRNA from 1 species
GACGAACGCUGGCGGCGUGCCUUAUGCAUGCAAGUCGAACGAGGACCUCACAGCAGGUAACUGUUGAGUGGUACCUAGUGGCGAACGGGUGAGUAACACGUGAGGAACCUGCCCCGGAGACCGGGAUAGUCCAGGGAAACUUGGAGUAAUACUGGAUACCCUCCGUUAGUCGCAUGGCCGACGGAGGAAAGAGUCCGCUGCUCCGGGAUGGCCUCGCGACCUAUCAGCUAGUUGGUGAGGUAACGGCUCACCAAGGCUCCGACGGGUAGCUGGUCUGAGAGGACGAUCAGCCACACUGGGACUGAGAUACGGCCCAGACUCCUACGGGAGGCAGCAGCAAGGAAUAUUGCACAAUGGGCGGAAGCCCGAUGCAGCGACGCCGCGUGAGGGAUGAAGGCCUUCGGGUUGUAAACCUCUUUCAGGAGGGAAGAAGCGAAAGUGACGGUACCUCCAGAAGAAGCCCCGGCCAACUACGUGCCAGCAGCCGCGGUAAUACGUAGGGGGCGAGCGUUGUCCGGAAUUAUUGGGCGUAAAGAGCUCGUAGGCGGCUCAGUAAGUCGGCCGUGAAAGCCCGGGGCUCAACCCCGGGAGGUCGGUCGAUACUGCUGUGGCUAGGGUCCGGUAGAGGAGAGUGGAAUUCCCGGUGUAGCGGUGAAAUGCGCGGAUAUCGGGAGGAACACCAGUAGCGAAGGCGGCUCUCUGGGCCGGCACCGACGCUGAGGAGCGAAAGCUAGGGGAGCAAACAGGAUUAGAUGCCCUGGUAGUCCUAGCCGUAAACGAUGGGCACUAGGUGUGGCGGAUUCAUUGACAUCUGCUGUGCCGAAGCUAACGCAUUAAGUGCCCCGCCUGGGGAGUACGGUCGCAAGGCUAAAACUCAAAGGAAUUGACGGGGGCCCGCACAAGCGGUGGGGCAUGUGGUUUAAUUCGAUGCAACGCGAAGAACCUUACCUGCCCUUGACAUCCUGGGAACUCUCUGGAGACAGAGAGGUGCCUUCGGGAACCCAGUGACAGGUGCUGCAUGGCUGUCGUCAGCUCGUGUCGUGAGAUGUUGGGUUAAGUCCCGUAACGAGCGCAACCCUUGUCCUUAGUUGCCAGCACGUAAUGGUGGGGACUCUAAGGAGACUGCCGGUGACAAACCGGAGGAAGGUGGGGAUGACGUCAAGUCAUCAUGGCCCUUAUGGGCAGGGCUACACACGUGCUACGAUGGGUGGUACAGAGGGAUGCCAACUCGCGAGAGGGAGCUAAUCCCAGAAAACCAUUCGUAGUCCGGAUUGCAGUCUGCAACUCGACUGCAUGAAGUCGGAAUCGCUAGUAAUCGCGGAUCAGAACGCCGCGGUGAAUACGUUCCCGGGCCUUGUACACACCGCCCGUCACACCAUGGGAGUGGGCUGUACCAGAAGCCGGUAGCUUAACCUUCGGGAGAGCGCCGUCCACGGUGUGGUUCAUGACUGGGGUG